rnacentral:misc_RNA from 1 species
CACAGCGAACAAGAAGUAAACAUUUUUUUCUUUACCUUGCUAUCGGAUUUCACGGAGAGCCUAUUUCGCCAUAUACCAACCGAGUCAGUUCUGUUUUGCCUUCUGCGCCGAUGAUAUCGUUACUACGCGGCGCGACAGUCGUGGCGGUUUAGUUUGUGUAAUAAGUGAAAACAAAUGUCGCGUGAUCGUAGCAUUUCAUCAUAUUUGUAAUUAAUUUGCGGUAAAACGGCGAAUUACGUGUAAUAUACAAUCCAGAUUCAUUCGUCUACUGUUUAGUGUGAAAUUUAUACAUACGGUUAUGGAAAAAAUACAAAUUCUUCCAAUUUUCGUACGCCACUACCGAGACAAUAGCUUCUACCAAUUCUCGAAGAAGAGAAGAUCAUUUUAGAGAGUUGGAGAGCGUCUCUCUCGUUCACGGAGCAAGCUCUUCGAAAUGUCAUUUGGUCGAGAGACUGGAACCUGAGAGGAAAAACCCAAGGCCCGGUUCUAAUCUUUCUAGGAAAUAACGAGGGAACCGGUAUCCGGUCGGAUGAAAAAUGCUCCUUGAAACACGAAGUGGCC